rnacentral:lncRNA from 1 species
ACUUUUUUUCUUAGAAUACUGCUAGAGAGAGUUAAGUUUCCUGCAAGGCUGUUCAGCACUUCAGCUGGAGUCAUAGCAUAGUUUGUUUGUUUGUUUGUUUAUUUAUUUAUUUAUUUCAUAGCAUAGUUUAAGUCAAAAGAACUCAAUAUAGAAUACUCAAUUUCACGAGAUUCAAAGAUACUAGCUUUAUCAGUACCACAAAUGGCAUGAAAUAAAACAUAUAAGCAUGUGAAACUGUUUUAAUUAUAAAAAUAGAAUUUAUUUAAAUUAUAUACACAUUUAAAUACACACAGAAUGCAUGAUACAUUUACUUAUUAUAUACAAAUUUUGCUUUUCAACUACAAAGUUAUGUAUACAGUGUAAAGGGUGAUAAGAAUUCCUACAAAGCCCUCGCUGUAUUUCUUUGACCAUUAAGUCUCAUACUUGUUUUCCUCUCACAAUGACACUACGUCUUAUAAUCCACACACAUAUUACAGCAUUUUCCCCUAAAAAGAAACUCUCAAAGGAUGUUAGUAGACCAGUGUUAUAUCUUAAAAGUAUUGUUAUUUAGAAUCAAGAACAUAUCAUAUUUAAUAAAAGUUUAAUCUAGUUUUCGUAGUUUAUCAUAGCAAUACUUUAUCCAUAUACCUAGCCUUCCUACAUUCCUAGUGAUCUUGAAAUGCAAACUAUGUCACGUUACUGAAUGUGGUCCUCUCUUUUCUAUUUUUUUGUCAGAAAGCCACCAACAUUGAUAAUGCAUUUUUUUUAUCUGCUUCAGAACAGGAUGUUCUGAAUUAUGCCAGCCUACCAGGUCUCGAUCUAUACAACAAAGAUACAUGCAGGAGGAAAAGAUACAUGACUGAGUUGUAUUUCAGACUGACAACCAGGACAAUUUUAUGGAAAAUACUGUUUCGUAAGUGUAAGCAUUCAAAUAUUAAAAUUCACGAUACUAAAAAAAAUAAAACUAGGCAUAUACCUUGGACCUAAAUUUUUAUCAGGUAAUGCUGACUCAGUUAAUCAUUGUAAUAUUAAGUAAUCACUGUAAAUUAAGUGCAUUAUUAAAUGAUUUAAAAUGUCUAGCCAAUAGUUAAAGAAAAAGUCUCACAAGCUGAAUGAGCUUGGAUGAAUUAAGAAUUUAGGAUUAAAAAAAUGAAACCAUAAAAGAAAAAAAUUAUAAUUGAAUAAUAUAAUAAUAUAAUCCUGGAUAGGAAAGGACCUCCUAAAAAAAAGAAAACAAAAAACGGAAAGGACCUCCUAGGGCACCUGGGUGGCUCAGUGGUUGAGCAGACAUCUGCCUUUUGCUCAGGUUGUGAUCCUGGGGUCCUGGGACCGAGUCCCACACCCUCCCUCUGCCUAUGUCUAUGCUUCUCCCUCUGCCUAUGUCUCUGCCUCUCU